UCAAUUUUUACUGUUUCUUCUCCAUUUUCCCUUUUUGAGACAAUUUCACUGCACAUUCUGCACUAAAGGGAACUUUCACCUAUCACCCCUCUCUAUAUAAAUGCAACCCCAAACAUAAUUGAAUGAAAAAUAUUUGUGUGUUUUUGAGUCGCUUUCUCAUCUCUGAUUCUCAUGACGAAAGUGACUCAUCAUCUUGCUCCAUGGUUUCUCACCAUUCUUCCUUUUUUAUCAAACCCCAUAUGGGUUUUCUGAUCUCCUUAUCAAGAUCAACCAUUAAAGCUAGGGUUUGUGCAAAAGUAGCUUAGAUGGGUACAAAAGCUGGAUUCAUGCUGGAUUUCAUUACGUCUAUACAAAUAAGAGCCCUCAAUUUUAAUGGGUGCACAGUAAUCCUAUUCAACAUUUUUCACUAUUUUGACUAAUAUACUUAUAAAUUUAUUUUCUCCCUUUUCCCUCUCUAAUUUGUGUUUCUUUUCUAUGCCUUCAUUUAAGCACACAAGAAUUUUAAAGCUUCUUGUUCUGAUCAUUUCUCGGUCUUAAAAUUUCCUCGAAUACUAACCAAGCAUUUAUAUCUUUGAAAUUCACUAGAUCCUCAUUGAUUGUAGCAUAAAAUACACCCUGUGUGGAGAUUGUGUUUAGUGUUUGCUGCUGCAUCACUCGUAUACAAAAUUAUCUUUACUUUUUCUACGUUUCUGUUUGGCCGUUAGAGUUAUUAUAGUGUUUUUUUGAGAUACCGUUAGAGUUGUUAUAGUUUUAGUGGCAGCUACAAUAAUAUUGUUGAUAUUAAUAUCAUAAUAAUUUUGAGAUGUAAUAAUUGUUGGCGUUUCGAAAUCCACUGUACAAAAUCGUUUCUCUCUCUCUCUCUCUCUCUUUCAUUUUUUUUUCUCCUGCUAAUUAAUAUGUACUGUUAUGUGUGUUGAUCAAGAUCUUCAGAAUUUGGAUUCAGAUUCAGAUUCAUUUCACACAGUACGAAGUCAUAAGGUACACUUCUUGUUUCAUAAUUUGUAUCAAUCAUCUUCAUUCUUGUCUUACACUUUCAGUAUAUUGAUCUAAAAAGAGUGUUUUAAUUUUACUUGUAAUUUUUUUCUGUGUUAUGCUAGGGAAUUAAUGAGAUUUGAAAUUGAGUGUUGUUUGUUUGAGAAAUUAGGAAGUUUAGUGAGAGCAGGAUAGCAUGGGAUUAGAGAUGAGUUUGAGUAUAUUUGAUUUCUCCGGUGGCUGAUAUUAAAAAUGGGGGGGCGGGAGAGAGAGAUAAAAAAAUGUGUUGCAUUGAGGAAUGGUCUAAAAGAGCUUCCUUCAGCCCACUCAUGGCUGAGAUUUGGGGUUGAAUUAGCUGCCGACUCAUUCAUUCAACCGCUCAGUAGAAUGAAAGAAGCUUAUGCUACUGUGGUUGAGUGAAUGAGGCGGGAGAUAGUUUCACGUCCCUCUCCGUCUAUGCUUGGACUGAAGGGAGCUCCUCUUGCUGUUCCCUUCGAUUGGGUAUCACCUUGUUUCAAUUAAGGCAGGUUGGUUUCAGUUUUUGUGUUUAAUUAUUGAAGCUCAAACUAAUCCAGCAAGUUUCAAACCAUGUCUUUGUUUUUAUUAUUACUGUUGUUGUCGUUAUUUUGUGUAUAACAUGCUUGUAAAUUUCUGUGAAGUGAUCGGAAUUGUCUCUGUUUGAUUCCCUCUCUGGUCAUUUCUGCAUUGGUAAUGGAUCAUAUUAAUGCUAAUUCUACUUCAGAAAAUGGGGAUUUCUUCCUUGAAACUAUUAAAUCGCUUCCUCAAAUCAAUAAAUCAUAGAUUUAUGACUGACUAAUAUCGAGAUUGUAGGUUACUAUUUGCCAAAUUUAACAAAUUCACACCGAGUAUCAAUAAUGCUAGAUGAGAAAUUCAGCUGGUGCAAGUGGAGUGCUUUGUGGUGGGGUUUCUUGUUUCCUUUUUCAGGUUUUAUUAGUUCCACUUUUUGCUUGCACUUUCCCCGCUUCCCCGACCCGUUUUCUUUUCACAAGUUCCUAGGUUUUCUUUUACAGACGCACUUUAUUCUCAGUAUAGCCUGGCUACCAUUGUUUUUGCAUCAGAAGAUGAUGAGUUUCCACCACCAUGCUGUGUUCAUCUUGAUUGUUAAAGUCUAUUUUAGGAAGAUUUUACGACAGGUUCUGUUGCAGCAUAUUAUGAGUGGGAAGGCCACCAUUGUUCUCGAAUUCGUCGUGGAUUAUGAUGGCCAGGUUAGUCUAGCUAGAAUCACCAAAGGUUGAUAUACAUCAGGCUGGGAUAUGAAUUAUGUACUUUUCUGUUCUUGAACUCGUAAAGCGCAGGUCUAUAUAUAUGGAAUGCAGAUCUUCUUGAGAAUCUGAUAACUGCUACACUAGUCCACUUGAUUUGUUAUCUGUGAGGAGCUACAAUAUGAUUCAUUCCUCAUGCAUGGAUGUACAAUAAAGUCGGUUUUAAAAUAUCGUGACUUAAUCUAGGUGACAGUGUUUACAUACAUAAAUAUUGAUAGGUUUGAUUAACUUAAUAAUUCUCGAUGAGCUCUGCAACUUUUUAAUACCAUAUUUGCUGUUUAUUCCUCCUUGGUUUUUGUAAGACAACAAAGCAAGAACCACUAUAUAGAUGUUGCCAAAAAUGGAUGGAGAGAUACUUUUGUUAAUGCCCUGUUUUAGGAAAUGGAAAGUAUUUGUUUAAUGGAAUGAUUAGUGUUUCUAAACCCUAUGAUAUUAUGGUUAGUACAUCAAUCAUAUUUUAAUCCUUUUUGUGGAUAGAAUCAAAUAGAUUCCAUUUGUAGGGUGGUCCCUGGUUACUUCAUGUGUAUUGGUUUUCUUCAUUCUACCUUUUCCUUUUCUUCUAAUUUUAUACCGUGAAAAACAGGUGUUGAUAUUGUUAGUGGAGCUGUACUUUUCCCAUACUAUUAUAAUGUGAAUAUGAUAAAGGGGGGCUUUUAUAGUUUUGUGCAGUUCAUAGUUUUUUCUGAGCAUGGAAAUUGCAAAGCUGUAGUCUUCUGCUGGUGAUAAAGCUCCAUGACGGGCUUCAUCAGAUUCACUACUUACCUUGUAGAAGCUGUGGUUCUUGAUUUUUUUAUCAUCAAAUGUUGGAUCAAACUCUUCAAGUUUAUCGGCAUUUUCUAUAUCAGUCUCAGGAUCAUGAGUUUCUGUGGUUCAUCAGACACUUAGGGAAGUCCCAAUGCUCAGUUUUUUCUUCGAGGGUAUGACAGAAGUCGAUGAGGAACGAGGUUUUCGAUUGAAGGUACAAGCAGGCAAAGCAAUCUUCCAUUGGGGCUUUACUGUGUGAAGUGUAAGAAGAGAUUGAUCAUCACACAAGUGCAGGAUCUUGGUGGUCCCAAGAAAUUGGUAACACAUGAGAUUUUGGUUAGAAAAUUUCGUUGGUGCAGGUUUUUAUUUGAAUGCAACUCAAAGUUUAGGGCAGUAUAUGUCGGCUCUGCAUGUGCUGCUGUUUUUUUAAUGUUUGUAAUUCUGUACCCGCAUAAAUUUUUGCUGUAAAAUUUCAUUUGUUUGGUUGAUGGCUACAGUCUUUGAUAAUGAA